ACCAACAAUGCUGGCCACGUAUCCUGACUUGAAGGUCAUGUUUACAACCUGACCUAUUCAAUCUGAUCUCAAAGAAAAUGCUUCUUAGAAUCAAUGGAAAGAACUAAAAAGUUAAAAUAUGGAACAUACCCUCUUUAAAGAUAUUUCUAAAACAAUGAAAUGAAUAUCUGAGAUGUCCCUCCUGUUGUUCUCAAUGAUGAACUGUGUAUUUGUCUUUCUGAAGUUGUCCGUCAAUGCCCAGAAGAAUGAUACUGCAGGGCUGGCAGCAGCAAAUGCAGUUUCACCAGCCCCCAGCAGGUGGCACAAAUGCCCUCAGCCUCCAGGAAAAGGUCUAAAUGCUCCUGCAGAACCAAGAAGCAGCAGAGAGGAGAAGAACGUUUAUCAUCUCAAGGAGAGUUUGGUCGGAGGGCUGGAGUUGGGUGAAGUCCGAGGCAGUCAGGAAACCGACACAACUCCAUUUAAUAAGCAACCUAAAUGUCCGCUGGCAGAGGAAUGGACAAAGAUGGAGUGGUCCAUAUAUACAAUGGAAUAUCACUCGGGCAUUAAAAAGAAUGAACUAAGGCCAUUUGCAGCAACACGGACGGACCCAGAGAGUGUCACACUGGUUAAGUCAGUCAGACAGAGAAGCAGAGCUUUUGAAUGGCAUCCCUUCUAUGUGGACUAGAAAAAGCAAUGAUCCAAAUGAAGUCACAAAACAGACUUUCUGACUUAGCAAACUUACGGCUGUCAGGCGGAAGGACAGUUAGGGAGUUUGGGACUGUCAUGUACCCAGUGCUAUAUUCAGAACAGAUGGCCAACGAGGACCUAUUGUGUAGCUCAGGACACUCUGCUCAGCGUUUCUGGGAGCCUGGAUGGGACAGGGGUUUGGGGGAGAAUGGAUGCAUGUAUAUGGAUGACUGAGUAUCUUCAAUUUUCACCUGAAACUAUCACCGUGUUGUGUGUUAAGCAUCUAUACCCCAAUAAAAGAUAAGAAGUUUAAAGUCCGAAAAAUAAAAUAGAGUUCUCUCCUUAACAAUGUCUGCUUUUUGAUCCGACUAUUCAAUCUAUUCAUGAUUAGCGCUGUUACUGACAUGGUUGGCUUCGUGUCUUCCAUUCUGCUUUUGCUUUCUAUGUAGCUUACGUCACGUUUCAUUCCUCUGUUCUUUUUCUACUUUCUUUUGCAUUAAAUAGACAUUUUCAGUGUAAUACUUUAAUUCUCUAAUAAUUUCUGACUGUAUUUUUGAGUUACUUUCUUAGUGACUUAAAUAAAUUAUUUUCUAAGGUUUAUGGUAUGCAUCUUAAUUUAUCAGAAUUGACUUUAGCCUUGUCCUGACUUAAUACCAACCAGUGAGAUAUAGAAACUUUAUUCUUACCUAGUUCUAUACCACCGUCCUCCUUUUUUGUGAUAAUACAUAUCACUUCUCUCUCUCUUGCUCUGUGUGUGUCUCUCUCUGUAUAUAUAUACCUAUGAAAUAAACCCCACAAUUCAUUGCUAUAAUUAUUUAUGUUUUUGUGAUAUGAUUGUUAUACAUGCUAUCUCUCUCUUACACACACACACACACACACACACACACACACACGGGGUUGGCCAAAAAGUUUGCUCCGAAUUUUCCAUAACAACUUACUGAAAAGCCCAAACAAACUUUUUGGCCAUCUCAACACAUGUUAUCUCUCUCUGUCGUAUAUUUAA
ensembl:lincRNA